GAUGAACGCUGGCGGCGUGCCUAAUACAUGCAAGUCGAGCGAACAGACGAGGAGCUUGCUCCUCUGACGUUAGCGGCGGACGGGUGAGUAACACGUGGAUAACCUACCUAUAAGACUGGGAUAACUUCGGGAAACCGGAGCUAAUACCGGAUAAUAUAUUGAACCGCAUGGUUCAAUAGUGAAAGACGGGUUUGCUGUCACUUAUAGAUGGAUCCGCGCCGCAUUAGCUAGUUGGUAAGGUAACGGCUUACCAAGGCAACGAUGCGUAGCCGACCUGAGAGGGUGAUCGGCCACACUGGAACUGAGACACGGUCCAGACUCCUACGGGAGGCAGCAGUAGGGAAUCUUCCGCAAUGGGCGAAAGCUUGACGGAGCAACGCCGCGUGAGUGAUGAAGGUCUUCGGAUCGUAAAACUCUGUUAUUAGGGAAGAACAAAUGUGUAAGUAACUAUGCACGUCUUGACGGUACCUAAUCAGAAAGCCACGGCUAACUACGUG
rnacentral:rRNA from 1 species